CUGGAGAUAUUUCAAAAGGAGGCUGAAUAGUCAUCUGCCUUGGAUGCUUUUGACACAACAAAUCCUGCAUCUUGGUAUGGGGUUGGACUAGAUGACCA